rnacentral:lncRNA from 1 species
CACGAUUCUGCAUAUUCCCCCCUUUUUCUUAAAUUGUUCUAGUUUCGAACACGGGCGGAAAAGUGAAAAGAUAGAAACGUUUUCUUGUGAACAAGAAAACUGGGAAAAAAAAAAAUCGUUGUUUAACAUUUUCUUUUUCUUUUCAUAUAUUGAAAGGUAAACGCAUGUGCAAAACACUUUCGUGGUCGACAUUCUGAAGUCAACCCACACAAAUUUCUGUCUUCCUGAUCUUAAACAAUCGCCUCUUCUAUAUACUUCUCUGAAAAUUAGGUUUAAUUACAGAAAAAUCUGAUAAGGGAUUUGCUUUAACCCCAAUAAUCCACGGAAUCCUUGUUAUUGAAAACCCAAUUUCAUUUACAAGAUCAUAACUUUUCAGUAUUUUCCCAUAAAUUCAGUCAUAAAUUUUCGAUCUUGAUUACAUAUUUUAAUCUGUUAAGAGAAAGAUGGGUGGAUGUUUCAGCAAGAAGAAGCACACGACUCCAGAUGCCAAUGGUUACAGAUCAGGAAGAACAGGCCCCACAGGGUAUCAAAGCCAUCAAAAUUAUCAAAAAUCAUCAUCUCAGUACACAUCCCAGCCGCCUCAGCCCGAAAGAAACCACCAGCCGCCACCGGUGCCACGUCCGCAGCCGCAAGCUCAACCUCAGGCACCGAUUCCAGUUCCUGUGAAACCUGCUCCCCAACACCAAAGCCCUGUUCAAAGAUUAGAACCCAAUAACAUUUUGGGUAAGCCAUUUGAGGAUAUAAGGUCAAACUACAAACUUGGCAGAGAAUUGGGGAAGGGUCAGUUUGGGGUAACUUACCUUUGUACUGAGAAUGCAACUGGACACACAUAUGCCUGUAAGUCAAUACUGAAGAGGAAGCUUGUGAGUAAGAAUGAUAAGGAGGAUAUGAAGAGGGAAGUUCAUAUUAUGCAGCACUUGAGUGGGCAGGCCAACAUCGUCGAAUUUAAGGGUGCUUAUGAGGACAGGCAAUCUGUGCACGUUUUGAUGGAGCUUUGUGCCGGCGGGGAGCUCUUUGACAGGAUAAUUGCUCAGGGGCAUUAUUCCGAGAGAGCUGCCGCUGACCUAUGUAGACAGAUUGUGAAUGUUGUUCACCAUUGCCAUUUUAUGGGAGUGAUACAUAGGGAUCUCAAGCCGGAGAAUUUCUUGCUUGCAAGUAAGGAUGAGAAAGCAAUGUUGAAGGCAACUGAUUUUGGGCUCAGCGUGUUUAUUGAAGAAGGUCUGUUUCUGGCUUUUAUUCAACUAAUUUUAUAGUUCUAGAACCUAAUGUUAUUUCAAUUAAGUUAUACGAUUUAGCUAAGUUUACAUGGAUAACAAACAUUUUCGUUAGUAUGUGUUAUGAUUCUUUCAAUGUUUUGUGAUCUAAGAUCCGGCGAUAGCAUAUUAUUGUGGUUGAAUACAAUUCUAAUAUUGUAAACAGAUCUUUAGCCAGUACCUAUACAAAUUUCACCACUCCGGUGGAAAUUUUCUCCACUUUGAGAUUGACAAUAGAUUGGAAGAUGCUUCAAGGAUCUUCUACAUCACAAGAUGCUGCUUUACAAAUAUGGAAUGCCUCAUUUAAGUGGUACAAGAAAAUAUAAUGACAUUGAAACCUCAAUUUUUGCAGCUGAUUUCAGAAGGUUGAUAUGUUUUCUCAUUCACUCAUAGACUUACUGUGUCUUCUGAGUUUUUGUAUUAGUUAAUAGGAACUAAGUGCUUGUUCAACUCACACAAGUGGCAGCUGAUCGUUGAUUCAAACUAUUUGCAGAUUCUGGUGGAAGUUCCUAAGGGAAAUUUUGAUUGUAAAUAGACCUGCUCACGCCAAAGACUGAGAAUGAUAGCCAUGUUAUUAAAGAAUGUUAACUUAUUAAUCGUUAAAAUAAGUGCAAACGGCAGUUUCCAUUUUUAAGAUCAUUAAAAAAGUGUGGCCCCCAUUUUACCACUUUGUGUCUACAUUGUGACGCCCUCUAUAUGUGUGCAGUUUUGCAAUUUAACCAAUUUGUUUCUGACAUUUUGUAUUUUCAUGAUCCUUUCACUUAUCCACAUUUUUUUUUCUUGUAAUUUGCAUAAAAAAUAACAAUUCCUUAUUUUUAAAAUCACAGGGAAGGUCUACCGUGAUAUAGUUGGUAGUGCAUACUAUGUAGCUCCUGAAGUUCUACGUCGAAGCUAUGGGAAGGAAAUUGAUAUAUGGAGUGCAGGUGUUAUUUUGUAUAUCCUGCUCAGUGGCGUGCCUCCAUUUUGGGCUGGUAAGAUAAAUGGGGUUAUUCCAUACAAUGUUUAUUUUCAUCUGUAACUCUCUCUUACCUUAACAUAUUUGGCCAAGCUUAAAAUUUACUUUUAAAUAACUCUUUUGGCCAUACAUGUUAGAGCUUUUUUACAUCCUUUUUUUUAAAAAAAAACUUUUUCAUAAAAAAAUUAAUUUUCUAUAAGUAAGUCCACACUUACUUCUGCAAAAGUACUUACUUUUUUAAGUUUAUCCAAACAUCUCAACAUGUUUCAUGUAAUUUUGUUGCAGAAACCGAAAAGGGGAUAUUUGAUGCUAUACUGACAGAAGAAAUUGACUUUGAAAGCCAGCCAUGGCCAUCAAUAUCAAACAGUGCAAAAGACCUUGUUCGCAAAAUGCUGAUGAAGGAUCCAAAGAAGAGGAUUACUUCUGUACAAGUACUGGGUAAAGUUACCUUCUUCCUUUUAUACAAAUUUGUGUCAAUUCCUCGCAUCUUUAUGCAUGUCUUUUGAACAUGAAGACAGAUUUUCUGUUCUGACUUGUAUUGUGCGUACCUUAUCAACUUUUCCAAUCACAUAGAGAUAUAUAUUUUCUUAAACUGACCAUUGUCUUCGCUGUUAUUAGUUUAUCCAAGCUUAGGAAAUUGGCUCGGUUGAGUGCUGAUAUAAGAGAUGCUGAAUAUAAAAAGUAACUGAAUGGAAAGAAUGAUACGUUAUUUAUGAGUUAUCCUCGAUAUCCCAGCGAGCAGCUGAAUUUUGGUUAAAACUUGAGGCUAAUAUCCAUUCCAACCAAAACUUAUAUGAAAAAGUAAUUACCCGAGAACUAGAUGAGAAAUUGGGGCCAAUAUAAGUUGAUUCGUGUCAAGAGCCAACUGGAGUGUAGUGCUUAUUCUUAAUGACUCUUGUUUAUAUCACGUCUCUUGUUUCUAAUUCAAAUAAUUAUCAUUUUGUGAACUUUUGUUGUUUAAAUUAUUGAGUUAAUCUUUUUUACUGCCCUGAAGUUAUGGAUUUCUCUUCAAUUUCAUAAUUAAUUUAUAAAGAUGCUAUGAAAUAUGUAUUUUCUUUCUCGAACUAGCCCAAAGUUGAACAUCUAUUUUUGUCUGUAUAGAGCACCCUUGGAUUAAAGGACAAGCACCUGAUAAGCCAAUUGAUAGUGCUGUGCUCUCAAGAAUGAAGCAGUUCAGAGCAAUGAAUAAGCUCAAGAAACUUGCACUAAAGGUAAAUUAUUAUUUCAUGCUUUCGUUUUAUAUCAAUUAAAUUGGAACAUUGAAAUUAUGAAUGUUUGUUCAAGUUUUGUUAUGUUUGUCAAGCCAGAAAUAUGAUACUUUUAAGUGAUGAUAAACCUUUAGUAGAGCAACUAUCUAUUGGACCUGCUGAUCAUGUCUGAUAAUUCUGUACUUCUUGAAUUUUUCUGCCGACUUCCUUCCAUUGGAAAAUACGAGACUAUCAAUUUUCUUCAAUAUGUAGCUUUAAUUGAUCUAGAUGGAUUAAAAUCAAAACCUACUCAAUAAGCACAUAAACAUGCAUUGUUUCUUAAUUGUCACAGUACUAGAAUUGGUACAUGAAACAUGUAUAAAGGAUAAAAUUUGGAACCCACUUUCAGUUUAUAGAAAUCUCUUUGCUUCAAUAAAAAUAUCUUGGUAUAAUUUGGCGUAAUUAUUAGGUAAGACUGGAAAACAUAUUCUAUAUAAUUAAUCUAGGGGCCAAAAUGUGGUGUUCGUAAAUUGGUUUUCUGUGAUAAACGUAGGUCCCACGCGGAAUAUUAAAACAUUUUCCAUUUUGAGGAAUAAAUUAACAUUAUUAUGAAACAACCUCAAUUAGAAAGUAAAGGUUAUUUGACUUCACAUGGAAAGAGCACUAUAGAGUAUUUAUUACGGUAAACUCAAAGAGUACUUUUCCUCUGGUCAUGAAUCUUAAUCAUUUUUGCAAACAAGUCAUAUGUGCAAUAUUGCUCAACUUAGAUGUAGAUGUUCUUUUCCUCUUACUAUGUACUGUUGCAUUUGGAAACUCCUGUAGGUCAUUGCACAAAAUUUAUCUGAAGAAGAAAUUAAAGGUCUCAAAGCAAUGUUCACAAAUAUGGACACAGACAAGAGUGGCGCAAUCACAUAUGAAGAAUUGAAAACUGGACUGGCUCGCCUCGGGUCAAAACUGUCAGAAACUGAAGUAAAACAACUCAUGGAAGCUGUAAGUUUCAUUCAGCUAUGUGAACACAAUUUGUUUAACCUUUAUUUGCCAUGACUGCUUCCUUGGAUUUAAACAUUUAUUCUAUAUAUCUCAGGCAGAUGUGGAUGGUAAUGGGACAAUUGAUUACCUUGAAUUUAUAACUGCCACGAUGCAUAGACACAAGCUCGAAAGAGACGAGCAUCUCUAUAAAGCAUUUCAGUAUUUUGACAAGGAUAACAGUGGGUAAGUAAGGGUCUAACUGUUGACAGUGCAUUUAUCUUGUCCACAUUUAUGGAUGUUUGGUAAGGUGGAUUAAACAACAUUAGAUAGUUUGAUGAAGAAAAAGGAGUCAAAAAAAUAUCUAUGGUACUUUCUGUUCUAUCUACACUCUGUACUUGAGGAUCAAGUUUUAGAAACCAUAUCAUUUUCACCAAGAUUGCAAUGGGAGUAAUGCAGAGAAUUCUGCUUGUUUCUGUUUACAAUAUUGAUCUUAUUAUAUAGUGAAAUUAUUGCUACCUUGUGGGAUUUUUCUUUCUUCCGUCAAAUUAUCCCAGACAUUUGACACCACCUGAUUUCCUAUUCAAUUUUGCUACACGUACAUUCUGGUUGAUACGUGGCCCAAAAUUUUACCAUUGAUAUGUUCGACACUUGAAACAAUCAAUGGCCUCGAUUUUGACACCUAUAGAAAUGUAAUCUAAGAUGUACACAAAGAAUUUACAAGUAGAUUUAUUCUUUCCUUAUUAUAUCGUUUCAGCUUCAUUACGAGAGAUGAACUGGAAAAUGCUAUGAAGGAGUACGGCAUGGGUGAUGAGGCCACAAUCAGGGAAAUAAUUUCAGAAGUCGAUACAGAUAAUGUAAGUAUGCCUGAUUCAAGAAAUGAGAUACACACUGUCUUCCCGAUUUAGAUAUAGACCAGCCUUAUAUUACUGCAUUUUAUAGGAUGGAAGGAUCAACUACGAGGAGUUCUGUGAGAUGAUGAGAAGCGGAACAACACAACAGGCAAAGCUCUUCUAGUGUCAAGGCAAUAAUUUUUUGAGCAGCAUGUUGUUGGGACUUAUGAGAGAGUUCUGCAAGGAUGAGGAGAUGCUGGGGACGAGGUGCAAGAUGACAUGAUCUUGAUUUCUUGUCGGAUACUCUACUGUUUUCAUGGAAAUCGAGGGAGUACGGUUAAGAGUUUGCGAGCUUUUUUUGUUCAGAUAGCUGUUAAAUGGUGUUGUACUCGUGCAUACUCUGUUCCAUUAUUAAUUUGUGUUUAUCCAUAAUGUAUUAGAUAUCCAUCUAAUUUUAUAUGUACAAUGGUGUUUUAUUCUUGCAAGUUGAUUCGUAUGUGAAUGAUUAAAGAAUUGGAUUUACCUAAAUAUGCCAACCGUUCUCCCUGGAUUUUCAGGCUGAAGAUUUCAAUCUUUUUCUUGUCAUUGUUACAAAAUUUGAGAGUUGAAAUAUCUGUAAAUACUGCUUUAGCUUUACAUGCCUGCAGGCUACUAAUUGUUUAACUCAAUCUUGCAAA